UGCUAAUGUUCCUUGCUCCUCAGGUCAGC
rnacentral:piRNA from 1 species